rnacentral:sRNA from 1 species
AAAAAUUAAUUUACGCCGCAGACAGCAAGUGGAGUUAUCCUUAAUUUCUUGCCGAGGUUGUAAGGUUAAAGUGCUUUAUUUAUAACAAUACUGCUAUUUUGUCCUUGCGCCGUAAGCGGCGCAAGGGUUUUUUAUUUUU